GAUGAACGCUGGCGGCGUGCCUAAUACAUGCAAGUCGAGCGAACAGACGAGGAGCUUGCUCCUCUGACGUUAGCGGCGGACGGGUGAGUAACACGUGGAUAACCUACCUAUAAGACUGGGAUAACUUCGGGAAACCGGGGCUAAUACCGGAUAACAUGUUGAACCGCAUGGUUCAACAGUGAAAGACGGUCUUGCUGUCACUUAUAGAUGGAUCCGCGCCGCAUUAGCUAGUUGGUAAGGUAACGGCUUACCAAGGCAACGAUGCGUAGCCGACCUGAGAGGGUGAUCGGCCACACUGGAACUGAGACACGGUCCAGACUCCUACGGGAGGCAGCAGUAGGGAAUCUUCCGCAAUGGGCGAAAGCCUGACGGAGCAACGCCGCGUGAGUGAAGAAGGUCUUCGGAUCGUAAAACUCUGUUAUUAGGGAAGAACAAAUGUGUAAGUAACUAUGCACGUCUUGACGGUACCUAAUCAGAAAGCCACGGCUAACUACGU
rnacentral:rRNA from 1 species